rnacentral:rRNA from 1 species
CCUACGGGAGGCUGCAGUGAGGAAUAUUGGUCAAUGGACGAGAGUCUGAACCAGCCAAGUAGCGUGAAGGAUGACUGCCCUAUGGGUUGUAAACUUCUUUUAUAUGGGAAUAAAAUGUUCCACGUGUGGGAUUUUGUAUGUACCAUAUGAAUAAGGAUCGGCUAACUCCGUGCCAGCAGCCGCGGUAAUACGGAGGAUCCGAGCGUUAUCCGGAUUUUUUGGGUUUAAAGGGAGCGUAGGUGGAUUGUUAAGUCAGUUGUGAAAGUUUGCGGCUCAACCGUAAAAUUGCAGUUGAAACUGGCAGUCUUGAGUACAGUAGAGGUGGGCGGAAUUCGUGGUGUAGCGGUGAAAUGCUUAGAUAUCACGAAGAACUCCGAUUGCGAAGGCAGCUCACUGGACUGCAACUGACACUGAGGCUCGAAAGUGUGGGUAUCAAACAGGAUUAGAUACCCGAGUAGUC